rnacentral:rRNA from 1 species
GCUUGUCUCAAAGAUUAAGCCAUGCAUGUCUAAGUACAAGCCUCAGUAAGGUGAAACCGCGAAUGGCUCAUUAAAUCACACCUAAUCUACUGGAAAGUUACUAGUUACUUGGAUAACUGAGGUAAUUCUUGAGCUAAUACAUGCGAAAAAUCUCGACUCACGGAGAGAUGCUUUUAUUAGAUCAAAACCAAACGGCUUCGGCCGUCUCAUUGGUGACUCUGAAUAACUUUGGGCUGAUCGUAUGGCCUUGUGCCGACGACGUUUCCUUCGAACGUCUGCCCUAUCAACUUUCGAUGGUAGUCGCCGUGCCUACCAUGGUGACCACGGGUGACGGGGAAUCAGGGUUCGAUUCCGGAGAGGGAGCCUGAGAAACGGCUACCACAUCCAAGGAAGGCAGCAGG